AAACCUAGGACCUUCAAAGCCCUCAAUAGGAGUGAAAAUCCCCUAGCUCCUG
rnacentral:tRNA from 1 species